AGAGUUUGAUCCUGGCUCAGGAUGAACGCUAGCGACAGGCCUAACACAUGCAAGUCGAGGGGUAACAUGAGUGCUUGCACUUGAUGACGACCGGCGCACGGGUGCGUAACGCGUAUGCAACUUACCUUGUACUGGGGAAUAGCCCGUGGAAACGCGGAUUAAUGUCCCAUAACACUACAAUUUCGCAUGGAAAAGUGGUUAAAGUUCCGACGGUACAAGAUGGGCAUGCGUGACAUUAGCUAGUUGGUGAGGUAAGGGCUCACCAAGGCGACGAUGUCUAGGGGUUCUGAGAGGAAGGUCCCCCACACUGGUACUGAGACACGGACCAGACUCCUACGGGAGGCAGCAGUGAGGAAUAUUGGUCAAUGGGCGCAAGCCUGAACCAGCCAUGUCGCGUGCAGGAAGACUGCCCUACGGGUUGUAAACUGCUUUUGUAUGGGAAGAAACGUUGGUACGUGUACCAAUUUGCCGGUACCAUACGAAUAAGGAUCGGCUAACUCCGUGCCAGCAGCCGCGGUAAUACGGAGGAUCCAAGCGUUAUCCGGAUUUAUUGGGUUUAAAGGGUGCGUAGGCGGUAGAAUAAGUCAGUGGUGAAAUCCUGCAGCUUAACUGUAGAACUGCCAUUGAUACUGUUUUACUUGAGUGUAAUUGAGGUAGGCGGAAUGUGUUGUGUAGCGGUGAAAUGCAUAGAUAUAACACAGAACACCGAUUGCGAAGGCAGCUUACUAAGUUAUAACUGACGCUGAUGCACGAAAGCGUGGGUAGCGAACAGGAUUAGAUACCCUGGUAGUCCACGCCGUAAACGAUGAUUACUCGCUGUAGGCAAUACACCGUCUGUGGCUGAGCGAAAGCAUUAAGUAAUCCACCUGGGGAGUACGUUGGCAACAAUGAAACUCAAAGGAAUUGACGGGGGCCCGCACAAGCGGGGGAACAUGUGGUUUAAUUCGAUGAUACGCGAGGAACCUUACCUGGACUUAAAUGUAGAUUGACGUAUCCAGAGAUGGAUAUUUCUUCGGACAAUUUACAAGGUGCUGCAUGGUUGUCGUCAGCUCGUGCCGUGAGGUGUCGGGUUAAGUCCCAUAACGAGCGCAACCCCUGUUGUUAGUUACCAGCACAUCAUGGUGGGGACUCUAACAAGACUGCCGGUGUAAACCGCGAGGAAGGUGGGGAUGACGUCAAAUCAGCACGGCCCUUACGUCCAGGGCUACACACGUGUUACAAUGGCCGGUACAGAGGGCAGCUACUUGGUGACAAGAUGCGAAUCUCAAAAACCGGUCUCAGUUCGGAUCGAAGUCUGCAACCCGACUUCGUGAAGCUGGAUUCGCUAGUAAUCGCAUAUCAGCCAUGAUGCGGUGAAUACGUUCCC
rnacentral:rRNA from 1 species